rnacentral:rRNA from 1 species
UACGGAGGAUGCGAGCGUUAUCCGGAUUUAUUGGGUUUAAAGGGUGCGUAGGCGGACGCUUAAGUCAGCGGUAAAAUUGCGGGGCUCAACCUCGUCGAGCCGUUGAAACUGGGUGUCUUGAGUGGGCGAGAAGUACGCGGAAUGCGUGGUGUAGCGGUGAAAUGCAUAGAUAUCACGCAGAACUCCGAUUGCGAAGGCAGCGUACCGGCACCCAACUGACGCUGAAGCACGAAGGCGUGGGUAUCGAACAGG